AAUACAUAAGUUACUAAGGGCUUAUGGUGGAUGCCUUGGCACUAGAAGGCGAUGAAGGACGUGCAAACCUGCGAAAUGCUACGGGGAGCUGGUUGGAAGCGAUAAUCCGUAGAUGUCCGAAUGGGGGAACCUGAUUAAUAGUGAUAUUAAUCAUUUAGAUCUGAAUACAUAGGGUCUAAAAGCAAUACGUUGUGAAGUGAAACAUCUCAGUAGCAACAGGAAAAGAAAUCGAAAGAGAUUCCGUGUGUAGUGGCGAGCGAAAGCGGAACAGGCCAAACCAAGAUUUAUCUUGGGGUUAUAGGACUGCAAUGUGGACUUUGAACUGAUAGGAGAAGUAGUUGAAAAGCUACGCGAUAAAGGGUUAUAGCCCCGUAUCUUAAAUUGGUUUAAUACCUAGCAGGAUCCUGAGUACAUCGAGAAACGUUAUCUUGAUCGAAGUCGCCCAGACCAUUGGGCAAGCCUAAAUACUAACUAGUGACCGAUAGCGUAUAGUACCGUGAGGGAAAGGUGAAAAGAACCCAGGGAUGGGAGUGAAA
rnacentral:rRNA from 1 species